rnacentral:tRNA from 1 species
UAGUACUUAGUUUAACCAAAAUAAAUGGUUUCGACCCAUUCGAUUAUGAUUUAAUUUCAUAAGUACUAA